rnacentral:rRNA from 1 species
GACGUAGGGGGCGAGCGUUGUCCGGAAUCACUGGGCGUAAAGGGCGCGUAGGCGGCCUGAUAAGUAGGGGGUGAAAUCCUGCGGCUUAACCGCAGGGCUGCCUUCUAAACUGUCAGGCUUGAGCACAGUAGAGGCAGGUGGAAUUCCCGGUGUAGCGGUGGAAUGCGUAGAGAUCGGGAAGAACAUCAGUGGCGAAGGCGGCUCUCUGGGACGGUACUGACGCUGAGACGCGAAAGCGUGGGGAGCGAACAGG